GAGGAUAUAGCUCAGUUGGUAGAGUGCUUGCCUUGCAUGCAGAAGGCCCUGGGUUCAAUCCUCAGCACCACCA
rnacentral:tRNA from 1 species